rnacentral:rRNA from 1 species
GCGGUGGAUGAUGUGGAUUAAUUCGAUGCAAACGCGGAAAACCUUACCUAACCCUUGACAUGUCCGGAAUCCCGAAGAGAUUUGGGAGUGCUCGCAAGAGAACCGGAACACAGGUGCUGCAUGGCUGUCGUCAGCUCGUGUCGUGAGAUGUUGGGUUAAGUCCCGCAACGAGCGCAACCCUUGUCAUUAGUUGCCAUCAUUUGGUUGGGCACUCUAAUGAGACUGCCGGUGACAAACCGGAGGAAGUGGGGAUGACGUCAAGUCCUCAUGGCCCUUAUAGGUGGGGCUACACACGUCAUACAAUGGAUGGUACAAAGGGUCGCCAACCCGCGAGGGGGAGCCAAUCCCAUAAAGCCAUUCGUAGUCCGGAUCGCAGUCUGCAACUCGACUGCGUGAAGUCGGAAUCGCUAGUAAUCGUGGAUCAGAAUGUCACGGUGAAUACGUUCCCGGGUCUU